AAAGACUCAAUUCUUGGGUUUCCGUGUCCAACGUUUGACCGACCGUCUUAUAUGAAAUUUUUUUAUGAUUAAUAUUUUCAUUAUUGUUAGAUGAUAAAACAUGAAUAAUACUUUAUGCAUGACUUAUAUUUUUAAAUUUUUUCAUAUUUUUUUCAAAUAAGACGGACGGUCAAACAUUAAACACGGAAACUCAGGAAUUGAGUUUUU
rfam:Oryza sativa (indica cultivar-group) chromosome 9, whole genome shotgun sequence.